rnacentral:rRNA from 1 species
GACGAACGCUGGCGGCGUGCUUAACACAUGCAAGUCGAGCGGUAAGGCCCUUUCGGGGGUACACGAGCGGCGAACGGGUGAGUAACACGUGGGUGACCUGCCCUUAGCUCUGGGAUAAGCCUGGGAAACUGGGUCUAAUACCGGAUAUGACUCCAUGACGCAUGUUGUGGGGUGGAAAGCCUUGUGCGGCUAGGGAUGGGCCCGCGGCCUAUCAGCUUGUUGGUGGGGUGAUGGCCACCAAGGCGACGACGGGUAGCCGGCCUGAGAGGGCGACCGGCCACACUGGGACUGAGACACGGCCCAGACUCCUACGGGAGGCAGCAGUGGGGAAUCUUGCGCAAUGGGCGAAAGCCUGACGCAGCGACGCCGCGUGGGGGAUGACGGCCUCGGUGUAACGU